GGUUAAGCGACUAAGCGUACACGGUGGAUGCCCUGGCAGUCAGAGGCGAUGAAGGGCGUGCUAAUCUGCGAUAAGCGCCGGUAAGGUGAUAUGAACCGUUAUAACCGGCGAUACCCGAAUGGGGAAACCCAGUGUGAUUCGUCACACUAUCAUUAACUGAAUCCAUAGGUUAAUGAGGCGAACCGGGGGAACUGAAACAUCUAAGUACCCCGAGGAAAAGAAAUCAACCGAGAUUCCCCCAGUAGCGGCGAGCGAACGGGGAGGAGCCCAGAGCCUGAAUCAGCAUGUGUGUUAGUGGAAGCGUCUGGAAAGG
rnacentral:rRNA from 4 species